AAGUUCUGAGGGAAAUUAUUAAUACACACACACACACACACACACACACACACACACACACACACACACACACACACACACACACACACACACACACACACACACACACACACACACACGGAGAGAGUCCUGUUUCACUUCUACGUGGGGACUCACCAUUCACAUAAUGCCUUCCUUAGCCCCUUACUCUACCCCUAACCAUCAUCAACCCAUCAACUAAAGGCAGACGUCUAAUUUUGCUCUAAUCUGAACCAAAACUCAAGUUUGACCUCAGCCCUAAAAUCACAUCUUGAUUUACAGAAAAGCCUUUGGACUGGUGGGUUGUCGCAGUGUCCUCACCUUGAUAGCAAAACAUGGUUUAUGGUCCCCACAUUGAAGGAGAAACAUGCACCGAUGAAAAUACAUGAUUAACGCAGAGGUUUUAAUAAUCAUUUUGGCUGCAGGUAGUAACCGAGAUAAAAGCCCCAAAAGAUUCACACCAUUAAAGGAAGUUUGAUGUGACCUUCUGCCAUGUUUUAGUAAUUUUUCACUUCAUGUCAAUGCUUACGCUGAAUCCGUGCACGGACACUGAACGCCUCGGUUCCCGUGCGUUGGAGCUUAAAGUACUGUACGUGGUGUGUGUGUGUGUGUGUGUGUGUGUGUGUGAACGUCUUGUACUGUAUGUGCAUGCUGUACAUUUCUUUGUGUGAUAUCAGAUCACUUGAUCCUGCCCUCCAUUUGCAUGUUGCAUAUUUACUGCCUGUGUGCAGUGAGCGCGUAUAUGUGUGUGCUUUCAGGAUUGACCCAAACGGACCCGUCACAAAGUCUGUCACCACCCAGUCACCAUGGCGCCCAACUUGGCCGAGACCCGACGGCGGCAGGGAGCACCUUGUCACCGUGGGGAACAGAAACAGCAGCAGGGGGAGAAUUCCCAUGUUGCUGGAGGUGAUGCUGCAGACAAGCCACCAAUCACAGACGGACAAAGACGGAUCCUCCUGGCUGCCUUACAGGACAUCAGUCAAACCCAGCUUUGUUAGCGCCGCAUUCCUCUGCAUUCACUUCAUCAACCAGUCCUGCUCGGGCUCCUCCGUCAAGCAGCGCUCGUGACACCUUGAAUUUUUUCUCUGCGCGCUUUUGAUACUGAAAAUGGCUCAUGAGGUGAUUGUUGACUGCUUGAAUGAUGCUUCUUGUGUUUUUGGUGGCGGCCACCUUUGUGCGGGUCCUGUCAUGUUAUCACAGCGUUUUAAUUAAAAAGAAGGGGACGUACAGACAGACAGGGACACAAUGACGGAUCCCCAGGCUGCUUUACAGGACGCUGCUCAAACAAAGCUCCGGCGGAGCUGCGUGACUUCGCUUUGUCUGUCUGACGACAAUUCUCUGACUCCAACGAUUCUAACUAUGCCUCUGUCGUUGAGACGCACGACACUGUGAGGUGUCAGACACGUAAUUGACGAAAACACUUUUUUUCUACCUGUCACUGUCCUCCAACACACAUGACUUAACAUUUUGCUCUCGAGGCCUUUGCGCACAUUGUUAGAGAUGCACAGGAACAAGGUGUAAAAGUUUCCUCCCCUCCACUAAGCUGUCAGAGGAGAAACACACAGGCAAGAACAAGAUGACAAACUUUCUAAGCUGUUGUUUUUGGUGGCAGACAGGCUGCGUGUGUGUGUGUGUGUGUGUGCGUCUCAGCUGAGAUGGGAAUGUCAGCACAGGACCAGCCCCCUGCUGCUGGACACCAGUCGGGGGUCCGCCUCCCGUGGGACGCGCCCGAUAAGCGCUGUGAAUGUGUGUGUGCUGUGUGUGUGUGACCCAUGCGUGUGCAUCAUAAAUAUGUGCGCGCCUACGUGAGCGCCGGGGGCCGGCGUCUGGGCCGCCUCGGACGGGGGAAGGGAGGUGAGCGCGGUGACAGCCUCAGCUGUGUUGAAUUGUGGGAGAAAAAGAGCUGACGCGACGGGAGCUGAUGUCUGACAUGACCCCUCUCAGCGGGCGCGCGGCGGGGAGCUGGGAGCGGGAGCCGCCGCUGGCCGAGCGCGGCUGUGUGCGCGCGUGUGUGUGUGUGUGUGUGUGUGCGCGCGCGAGGUGGGAAAGUGAAGGGGAAGGACGGUGAGAGGCAAGAACGCGGCGGGGCUUUUUCUUUGGCCGCAUCGCAGCGACGUUGAUAGCGGAGUCUGUGAAACGGCGCCUUGAUGGACGUGACGCCGCACUUUUCCUGCUGUAAACCAAUCCCCUCCACGCCUUGCCGGCCAUUUUCCCUGCCUCCAUAUCAUAUACCUCUCCUUGACCUUCUCGCUCUUUGUUGGUGUCCCUGUGCUCCCUCAUUCCUGCUUUUUCUUCCCGGCUCCGUCCCUCCUGACGGUGCAUUCAGGCCGGUAAAGUGAUCUUGGGGGCGCGGAGCUCGUUGGCCUUCAUUAUUCCCCAAUCACUCCUGCCAUCUUUUGCUCUUUACACUUUCUCGUCUCAUCUCUGUUUGCAUCAUUCCCGAAUUCUUUCAUUCCUCAUCCUUCUACACACACACACACACACACACACACACACACACACACACACACACACACACACACACACACACACACACACACACACCUUCACCCUCUCUUUUCACUGUCUCUCCUUUCUGGGUCUGUUGCUUUGCCAUCAGUCUCUGAUAAGUGCCCACAAAGCCCCCACUGUCUAAUGUGACCCUUUAUUCUUCCCCCAUCCUCUCUCUCUCUCUUUCUCCCUCUCUCUCUCUCUCUCUGUCUCCUUUUUUCCUCCAUCCUGGAGCAGCCAAGCGUGAGGUAAAGAGUGGGGGCCGUUUGUCUUAUACACACACCCAAACUUGUUUUACCUUCAUCCCCUGUUCCCUUCACUUUUCUCUCCUCAUCAUCCUUUCCCAUACUCUGUUUUUAACUUGUCCAACUUUCUUUUGUUCCUCAUCCUCGUCCUGUCUCUCUGUCCUCUAACUUUUCUCGGCCUGCAGGGAAACCUUGCCCUGCUUCUCUCAGGAUGCUGGUGUUUCUCAAAUGGGACCGGGGCUCAGAUCUAACACAUUUAUCCAGAAUAAAAUGUUAGUCUGAGACA
rnacentral:lncRNA from 1 species